ensembl:misc_RNA Metazoa_SRP Metazoan signal recognition particle RNA
GCUGGGCGGGUGGCUUGUGCCUGUGGUCCCAGCUACUCGGGAGGCUGAAGUGGGAGGAUCGCUUGAGCCCAGGAGUUCUGGGCUGUAGUGCGCUGUGCCAAUCGGGUGUCUGCACUAAGUUCGGCAUCAAUAUGGUGACCUCCUGGGAGCCGGGGACAACCAGGUUGCCUAAGGAGGGGUGAGUCGGCCCAGGUUGGAAACGGAGCAGGUCAAAACUCCCGUGCUGAUCAGUAGUGGGAUUGGGCCUGUGAAUAGCCACUGCACUCCAGCCUGGGCAGCAUAGCGAGACCCCGUCUCUA